ACCUUCAGACACACCUUUGGAUGUGACCUUUCAGGUGGAGAUGCAGUUAUGUUUUAGUCUCCAGCAACUAACUUAAAGCCUGACACACAGCUUCUCCCCAGGUAAAGGGGUGGUAAGUUCUGGAACCUCAGCCUCCCCCAUAACAAGCCACAGUUCCCUUCUCUGCAGAGCAUGGGAGGCCUUUCUGAGUUGGCCUGACUCUGACACUCAGCAUGCAUGGCUGUUGGGAUGUCAGGGGGCAAGCCUAGGCCAUCCACUAGCCGAGCCUUAAACCCAUCUGCACAACAGAAUCUGCCAACGGAAGCUUAAAAAGAUUUCAGAUUCCUUGGACCAUGCCAGAGAACCCCCACUGAGCCUCAAUGUCACCUCCUCUAUGUCAACAUUCAGCCCCUCUGGGCAUUUCCUCCUCUGUGGCCCACUUUGCUUGUCUCCUGACAGCUUCUGCUCCUCGACUGUAAGUUUCUUGAGAGCAGGGUCUUUAUCUUUGGUGAGAGUUAUACAGACCCAGUCCAGAGC
ensembl:lncRNA